rnacentral:rRNA from 1 species
AUGUACAUUCCUAUAACAUUAAUGCAUUGGAUCCCAUUAGAACUCCAUAGUUAAGCGCACUUGGGCUAGAGUAGUACUGGGAUGGGUGACCUCCCUGAAAUUCCUAGUGUUUUACAUG